rnacentral:tRNA from 1 species
UAUAGCUCAGUGGUAGAGCACAUGGUUAGCACACAGGAGGUCCUGGGUUCAAUCCCAAGUA